rnacentral:rRNA from 1 species
UACGAAGGGGGCGAGCGUUGUUCGGAUUUACUGGGCGUAAAGGGCGCGUAGGCGGCCUUCCAAGUCGGGUGUGAAAGCCCCGGGCUCAACCUGGGAAUUGCGCGCGAAACGGGGGGGCUUGAGUUCGGGAGAGGAGCGUGGAAUUCCCAGUGUAGAGGUGAAAUUCGUAGAUAUCGGGAGGAACACCAGUGGCGAAGGCGGCGAUCUGGGAAGAUACUGACGCUGAGGUGCGAAAGCGUGGGGAGCAAACAGG